rnacentral:rRNA from 1 species
AGUCGACGAACUUCUUUAUCACCGAGUGCUUGCACUCACCGAUAAAGAGUUGAGUGGCGAACGGGUGAGUAACACGUGGGCAACCUGCCCAAAAGAGGGGGAUAACACUUGGAAAUAGGUGCUAAUACCGCAUAACCAUAGUUACCGCAUGGUAACUAUGUAAAAGGUGGCUAUGCUACCGCUUUUGGAUGGGCCCGCGGCGCAUUAGCUAGUUGGUGGGGUAAAGGCUUACCAAGGCAAUGAUGCGUAGCCGAACUGAGAGGUUGAUCGGCCACAUUGGGACUGAGACACGGCCCAAACUCCUACGGGAGGCAGCAGUAGGGAAUCUUCCACAAUGGGCGAAAGCCUGAUGGAGCAACGCCGCGUGGGUGAAGAAGGUCUUCGGAUCGUAAAACCCUGUUGUUAGAGAAGAAAGUGCGUGAGAGUAACUGUUCACGUUUCGACGGUAUCUAACCAGAAAGCCACGGCUAACUACGUGCCAGCAGCCGCGGUAAUACGUAGGUGGCAAGCGUUAUCCGGAUUUAUUGGGCGUAAAGGGAACGCAGGCGGUCUUUUAAGUCUGAUGUGAAAGCCUUCGGCUUAACCGGAGUAGUGCAUUGGAAACUGGGAGACUUGAGUGCAGAAGAGGAGAGUGGAACUCCAUGUGUAGCGGUGAAAUGCGCAGAUAUAUGGAAGAACACCAGUGGCGAAAGCGGCUCUCUGGUCUGUAACUGACGCUGAGGUUCGAAAGCGUGGGUAG